UCAAUAAAAAGUUGAUUAAGUGCAAGUAGAAUAAAAACAGCCCUUAAAUUUCACCCCUGGGAGUGAAAAUUGCUGAUUCAGCAAAUUUUGCCUGAUCUGUGGGUAAUAAUGUUAAAAUUUACCAAGAAAGUAAAAUUUCUUUAUUUUUAAGUAACUUGCAAUACAUUUUAAAUUAUAAAGUUUCGCUUUAACUUUUCGCAGUGUCUGACACAUGUGCAACAACUGGAAUUUGAGACGCGACAUAUUUUAGUUGCCUGUACGUCCUAUAAUUUUCACCGUAAUAAAUAAAGUGCAUAAUUUCUCAUUUUUUUCCACACAAGUACAGCUAUACUAGUUUUCUUCAGGUUUAAUUUGUAGUUCUGUGGUAACAUGACACCAGUAAGAGCUUUUUUGGAACUAGUAAGUGGUUAAGGGGUCCUUACUUAUUCAUUUAGCCCUCAUAUUUAGCUGAAAUAGGGAUAGCGUUAGGGGUUUCUUUACAUUGACAAGACAAUUUUUUGGACAAAGAAUGUGAUUAUGAUUGUAUAUCAGCAAGAUUAAAUAGUUUAUUCAUUUUCCAUGCAAAUGGCAUUAAUUGUUUUAAUUUUCUGACACUGAAAAGCACAAAAAAGGUAAAUUGAUUAUAUAAGGGGACAUAAUUUAACUUUAAUGCUCACAUGAGAAAUAGACAAUCAGUCAACUUAGAGAUGUAUUCUAGUACAUGUAUAGUCAAAAAGAUUUUAGAAUAAUAGUUAACUGCCAUCUAAAGAACCUUGUUGUAUUGCCUUCAUAAUCUGGAAAUGCUUAAAGGAAUGUAAGGCAUGCUGUAAAAUGUGGAAUGGACUCUACUAUCAUUUUUCAUGAUUUGGUGCUUAAACUGUUUCUUUCAGUCAGAUUAACUAUAAAUAGAGUUGGCAAUCCAAUAACUCCUCCUUAAUCACCAUGUUUUACUUCUGUGUUGAUUUGAAACAUCAUAUAUUUGGGUUUUGUUCACUCCUUAAGUAAAAAUGGUAAGAUGAAAAAAAAGUGAAAAUCUGCCAGCUGGGGUAGGGGUAUAAUCUUUAAUAUUUAUUUGGUAAGAAAUAAGUGCAGACUAGUAUUCUUUAUUGUAAUAUGUUUCCUAGUAAGAAGUCUAUGCAUCAUAGGUGUCAUGACUGUUUUCAAGUUUGUGAUGUCUUGGUUAAGGUAGCACGGUAGUAUUUGCAUUCCGGAAUUUAGGUUGCUCUUUUGUGUACCCUACCUAAGUCAAUGUAUCUGAACAGUGUGAUUGGACAAAAAAUACAGUAUCAACUGAACAUACUUUCCCAAACUGAGGGAUGAAUCAGAUGUAGAAAAAUGUGAAAUAAUUUUACAUACAGGUGAAAAUGAAUUUUUGAGAAUUUUUUUAAUUUUUGUAUUCACUGCAUGAUAAAAGACCUAAAAGCACUAGUGGCCUUAGGUUUUUAAAAAUAGCAAAAAAAGUAAACGGUCAUGAUACAUAUUCAAAUUUAUUUCUGAUUAGUAUAAUGAAAGUACUUCAGUUAACUGUGUAAGUAGAAUUUUUCGCAGUGUUAGAAAGUGGUGAAAAUCCUAAAAAGGCUAUCAUUAUCCCUUAUGGGCCAGGAAAUGCUACCGUGCCACCUUAACUGGGAUAUAUAUGUUUACACUAAAUCAAUAAAGGUAUUUUUUUUACCUAUGCAAUUUGUAAUAUUAUCAAUAAAAAGUUGAUUAAGUGCAAGUAGAAUAAAAACAGCCCUUAAAUUUCACCCCUGGGAGUGAAAAUUGCUGAUUCAGCAAAUUUUGCCUGAUCUGUGGGUAAUAAUGUUAAAAUUUACCAAGAAAGUAAAAUUUCUUUAUUUUUAAGUAACUUGCAAUACAUUUUAAAUUAUAAAGUUUCGCUUUAACUUUUCGCAGUGUCUGACACAUGUGCAACAACUGGAAUUUGAGACGCGACAUAUUUUAGUUGCCUGUACGUCCUAUAAUUUUCACCGUAAUAAAUAAAGUGCAUAAUUUCUCAUUUUUUUCCACACAAGUACAGCUAUACUAGUUUUCUUCAGGUUUAAUUUGUAGUUCUGUGGUAACAUGACACCAGUAAGAGCUUUUUUGGAACUAGUAAGUGGUUAAGGGGUCCUUACUUAUUCAUUUAGCCCUCAUAUUUAGCUGAAAUAGGGAUAGCGUUAGGGGUUUCUUUACAUUGACAAGACAAUUUUUUGGACAAAGAAUGUGAUUAUGAUUGUAUAUCAGCAAGAUUAAAUAGUUUAUUCAUUUUCCAUGCAAAUGGCAUUAAUUGUUUUAAUUUUCUGACACUGAAAAGCACAAAAAAGGUAAAUUGAUUAUAUAAGGGGACAUAAUUUAACUUUAAUGCUCACAUGAGAAAUAGACAAUCAGUCAACUUAGAGAUGUAUUCUAGUACAUGUAUAGUCAAAAAGAUUUUAGAAUAAUAGUUAACUGCCAUCUAAAGAACCUUGUUGUAUUGCCUUCAUAAUCUGGAAAUGCUUAAAGGAAUGUAAGGCAUGCUGUAAAAUGUGGAAUGGACUCUACUAUCAUUUUUCAUGAUUUGGUGCUUAAACUGUUUCUUUCAGUCAGAUUAACUAUAAAUAGAGUUGGCAAUCCAAUAACUCCUCCUUAAUCACCAUGUUUUACUUCUGUGUUGAUUUGAAACAUCAUAUAUUUGGGUUUUGUUCACUCCUUAAGUAAAAAUGGUAAGAUGAAAAAAAAGUGAAAAUCUGCCAGCUGGGGUAGGGGUAUAAUCUUUAAUAUUUAUUUGGUAAGAAAUAAGUGCAGACUAGUAUUCUUUAUUGUAAUAUGUUUCCUAGUAAGAAGUCUAUGCAUCAUAGGUGUCAUGACUGUUUUCAAGUUUGUGAUGUCUUGGUUAAGGUAGCACGGUAGUAUUUGCAUUCCGGAAUUUAGGUUGCUCUUUUGUGUACCCUACCUAAGUCAAUGUAUCUGAACAGUGUGAUUGGACAAAAAAUACAGUAUCAACUGAACAUACUUUCCCAAACUGAGGGAUGAAUCAGAUGUAGAAAAAUGUGAAAUAAUUUUACAUACAGGUGAAAAUGAAUUUUUGAGAAUUUUUUUAAUUUUUGUAUUCACUGCAUGAUAAAAGACCUAAAAGCACUAGUGGCCUUAGGUUUUUAAAAAUAGCAAAAAAAGUAAACGGUCAUGAUACAUAUUCAAAUUUAUUUCUGAUUAGUAUAAUGAAAGUACUUCAGUUAACUGUGUAAGUAGAAUUUUUCGCAGUGUUAGAAAGUGGUGAAAAUCCUAAAAAGGCUAUCAUUAUCCCUUAUGGGCCAGGAAAUGCUACCGUGCCACCUUAACUGGGAUAUAUAUGUUUACACUAAAUCAAUAAAGGUAUUUUUUUUACCUAUGCAAUUUGUAAUAUUAUCAAUAAAAAGUUGAUUAAGUGCAAGUAGAAUAAAAACAGCCCUUAAAUUUCACCCCUGGGAGUGAAAAUUGCUGAUUCAGCAAAUUUUGCCUGAUCUGUGGGUAAUAAUGUUAAAAUUUACCAAGAAAGUAAAAUUUCUUUAUUUUUAAGUAACUUGCAAUACAUUUUAAAUUAUAAAGUUUCGCUUUAACUUUUCGCAGUGUCUGACACAUGUGCAACAACUGGAAUUUGAGACGCGACAUAUUUUAGUUGCCUGUACGUCCUAUAAUUUUCACCGUAAUAAAUAAAGUGCAUAAUUUCUCAUUUUUUUCCACACAAGUACAGCUAUACUAGUUUUCUUCAGGUUUAAUUUGUAGUUCUGUGGUAACAUGACACCAGUAAGAGCUUUUUUGGAACUAGUAAGUGGUUAAGGGGUCCUUACUUAUUCAUUUAGCCCUCAUAUUUAGCUGAAAUAGGGAUAGCGUUAGGGGUUUCUUUACAUUGACAAGACAAUUUUUUGGACAAAGAAUGUGAUUAUGAUUGUAUAUCAGCAAGAUUAAAUAGUUUAUUCAUUUUCCAUGCAAAUGGCAUUAAUUGUUUUAAUUUUCUGACACUGAAAAGCACAAAAAAGGUAAAUUGAUUAUAUAAGGGGACAUAAUUUAACUUUAAUGCUCACAUGAGAAAUAGACAAUCAGUCAACUUAGAGAUGUAUUCUAGUACAUGUAUAGUCAAAAAGAUUUUAGAAUAAUAGUUAACUGCCAUCUAAAGAACCUUGUUGUAUUGCCUUCAUAAUCUGGAAAUGCUUAAAGGAAUGUAAGGCAUGCUGUAAAAUGUGGAAUGGACUCUACUAUCAUUUUUCAUGAUUUGGUGCUUAAACUGUUUCUUUCAGUCAGAUUAACUAUAAAUAGAGUUGGCAAUCCAAUAACUCCUCCUUAAUCACCAUGUUUUACUUCUGUGUUGAUUUGAAACAUCAUAUAUUUGGGUUUUGUUCACUCCUUAAGUAAAAAUGGUAAGAUGAAAAAAAAGUGAAAAUCUGCCAGCUGGGGUAGGGGUAUAAUCUUUAAUAUUUAUUUGGUAAGAAAUAAGUGCAGACUAGUAUUCUUUAUUGUAAUAUGUUUCCUAGUAAGAAGUCUAUGCAUCAUAGGUGUCAUGACUGUUUUCAAGUUUGUGAUGUCUUGGUUAAGGUAGCACGGUAGUAUUUGCAUUCCGGAAUUUAGGUUGCUCUUUUGUGUACCCUACCUAAGUCAAUGUAUCUGAACAGUGUGAUUGGACAAAAAAUACAGUAUCAACUGAACAUACUUUCCCAAACUGAGGGAUGAAUCAGAUGUAGAAAAAUGUGAAAUAAUUUUACAUACAGGUGAAAAUGAAUUUUUGAGAAUUUUUUUAAUUUUUGUAUUCACUGCAUGAUAAAAGACCUAAAAGCACUAGUGGCCUUAGGUUUUUAAAAAUAGCAAAAAAAGUAAACGGUCAUGAUACAUAUUCAAAUUUAUUUCUGAUUAGUAUAAUGAAAGUACUUCAGUUAACUGUGUAAGUAGAAUUUUUCGCAGUGUUAGAAAGUGGUGAAAAUCCUAAAAAGGCUAUCAUUAUCCCUUAUGGGCCAGGAAAUGCUACCGUGCCACCUUAACUGGGAUAUAUAUGUUUACACUAAAUCAAUAAAGGUAUUUUUUUUACCUAUGCAAUUUGUAAUAUUAUCAAUAAAAAGUUGAUUAAGUGCAAGUAGAAUAAAAACAGCCCUUAAAUUUCACCCCUGGGAGUGAAAAUUGCUGAUUCAGCAAAUUUUGCCUGAUCUGUGGGUAAUAAUGUUAAAAUUUACCAAGAAAGUAAAAUUUCUUUAUUUUUAAGUAACUUGCAAUACAUUUUAAAUUAUAAAGUUUCGCUUUAACUUUUCGCAGUGUCUGACACAUGUGCAACAACUGGAAUUUGAGACGCGACAUAUUUUAGUUGCCUGUACGUCCUAUAAUUUUCACCGUAAUAAAUAAAGUGCAUAAUUUCUCAUUUUUUUCCACACAAGUACAGCUAUACUAGUUUUCUUCAGGUUUAAUUUGUAGUUCUGUGGUAACAUGACACCAGUAAGAGCUUUUUUGGAACUAGUAAGUGGUUAAGGGGUCCUUACUUAUUCAUUUAGCCCUCAUAUUUAGCUGAAAUAGGGAUAGCGUUAGGGGUUUCUUUACAUUGACAAGACAAUUUUUUGGACAAAGAAUGUGAUUAUGAUUGUAUAUCAGCAAGAUUAAAUAGUUUAUUCAUUUUCCAUGCAAAUGGCAUUAAUUGUUUUAAUUUUCUGACACUGAAAAGCACAAAAAAGGUAAAUUGAUUAUAUAAGGGGACAUAAUUUAACUUUAAUGCUCACAUGAGAAAUAGACAAUCAGUCAACUUAGAGAUGUAUUCUAGUACAUGUAUAGUCAAAAAGAUUUUAGAAUAAUAGUUAACUGCCAUCUAAAGAACCUUGUUGUAUUGCCUUCAUAAUCUGGAAAUGCUUAAAGGAAUGUAAGGCAUGCUGUAAAAUGUGGAAUGGACUCUACUAUCAUUUUUCAUGAUUUGGUGCUUAAACUGUUUCUUUCAGUCAGAUUAACUAUAAAUAGAGUUGGCAAUCCAAUAACUCCUCCUUAAUCACCAUGUUUUACUUCUGUGUUGAUUUGAAACAUCAUAUAUUUGGGUUUUGUUCACUCCUUAAGUAAAAAUGGUAAGAUGAAAAAAAAGUGAAAAUCUGCCAGCUGGGGUAGGGGUAUAAUCUUUAAUAUUUAUUUGGUAAGAAAUAAGUGCAGACUAGUAUUCUUUAUUGUAAUAUGUUUCCUAGUAAGAAGUCUAUGCAUCAUAGGUGUCAUGACUGUUUUCAAGUUUGUGAUGUCUUGGUUAAGGUAGCACGGUAGUAUUUGCAUUCCGGAAUUUAGGUUGCUCUUUUGUGUACCCUACCUAAGUCAAUGUAUCUGAACAGUGUGAUUGGACAAAAAAUACAGUAUCAACUGAACAUACUUUCCCAAACUGAGGGAUGAAUCAGAUGUAGAAAAAUGUGAAAUAAUUUUACAUACAGGUGAAAAUGAAUUUUUGAGAAUUUUUUUAAUUUUUGUAUUCACUGCAUGAUAAAAGACCUAAAAGCACUAGUGGCCUUAGGUUUUUAAAAAUAGCAAAAAAAGUAAACGGUCAUGAUACAUAUUCAAAUUUAUUUCUGAUUAGUAUAAUGAAAGUACUUCAGUUAACUGUGUAAGUAGAAUUUUUCGCAGUGUUAGAAAGUGGUGAAAAUCCUAAAAAGGCUAUCAUUAUCCCUUAUGGGCCAGGAAAUGCUACCGUGCCACCUUAACUGGGAUAUAUAUGUUUACACUAAAUCAAUAAAGGUAUUUUUUUUACCUAUGCAAUUUGUAAUAUUAUCAAUAAAAAGUUGAUUAAGUGCAAGUAGAAUAAAAACAGCCCUUAAAUUUCACCCCUGGGAGUGAAAAUUGCUGAUUCAGCAAAUUUUGCCUGAUCUGUGGGUAAUAAUGUUAAAAUUUACCAAGAAAGUAAAAUUUCUUUAUUUUUAAGUAACUUGCAAUACAUUUUAAAUUAUAAAGUUUCGCUUUAACUUUUCGCAGUGUCUGACACAUGUGCAACAACUGGAAUUUGAGACGCGACAUAUUUUAGUUGCCUGUACGUCCUAUAAUUUUCACCGUAAUAAAUAAAGUGCAUAAUUUCUCAUUUUUUUCCACACAAGUACAGCUAUACUAGUUUUCUUCAGGUUUAAUUUGUAGUUCUGUGGUAACAUGACACCAGUAAGAGCUUUUUUGGAACUAGUAAGUGGUUAAGGGGUCCUUACUUAUUCAUUUAGCCCUCAUAUUUAGCUGAAAUAGGGAUAGCGUUAGGGGUUUCUUUACAUUGACAAGACAAUUUUUUGGACAAAGAAUGUGAUUAUGAUUGUAUAUCAGCAAGAUUAAAUAGUUUAUUCAUUUUCCAUGCAAAUGGCAUUAAUUGUUUUAAUUUUCUGACACUGAAAAGCACAAAAAAGGUAAAUUGAUUAUAUAAGGGGACAUAAUUUAACUUUAAUGCUCACAUGAGAAAUAGACAAUCAGUCAACUUAGAGAUGUAUUCUAGUACAUGUAUAGUCAAAAAGAUUUUAGAAUAAUAGUUAACUGCCAUCUAAAGAACCUUGUUGUAUUGCCUUCAUAAUCUGGAAAUGCUUAAAGGAAUGUAAGGCAUGCUGUAAAAUGUGGAAUGGACUCUACUAUCAUUUUUCAUGAUUUGGUGCUUAAACUGUUUCUUUCAGUCAGAUUAACUAUAAAUAGAGUUGGCAAUCCAAUAACUCCUCCUUAAUCACCAUGUUUUACUUCUGUGUUGAUUUGAAACAUCAUAUAUUUGGGUUUUGUUCACUCCUUAAGUAAAAAUGGUAAGAUGAAAAAAAAGUGAAAAUCUGCCAGCUGGGGUAGGGGUAUAAUCUUUAAUAUUUAUUUGGUAAGAAAUAAGUGCAGACUAGUAUUCUUUAUUGUAAUAUGUUUCCUAGUAAGAAGUCUAUGCAUCAUAGGUGUCAUGACUGUUUUCAAGUUUGUGAUGUCUUGGUUAAGGUAGCACGGUAGUAUUUGCAUUCCGGAAUUUAGGUUGCUCUUUUGUGUACCCUACCUAAGUCAAUGUAUCUGAACAGUGUGAUUGGACAAAAAAUACAGUAUCAACUGAACAUACUUUCCCAAACUGAGGGAUGAAUCAGAUGUAGAAAAAUGUGAAAUAAUUUUACAUACAGGUGAAAAUGAAUUUUUGAGAAUUUUUUUAAUUUUUGUAUUCACUGCAUGAUAAAAGACCUAAAAGCACUAGUGGCCUUAGGUUUUUAAAAAUAGCAAAAAAAGUAAACGGUCAUGAUACAUAUUCAAAUUUAUUUCUGAUUAGUAUAAUGAAAGUACUUCAGUUAACUGUGUAAGUAGAAUUUUUCGCAGUGUUAGAAAGUGGUGAAAAUCCUAAAAAGGCUAUCAUUAUCCCUUAUGGGCCAGGAAAUGCUACCGUGCCACCUACACUCAAUAUUAAGUGUAGUAUUGCGGAGCAUGUACGGAACGGAUAUGAACUCUGCGCCGGAGAUUGGCACUAAAGACCAAAAUAGCAUUUCCAAAAAAAAUAAUUACUGCCAAGAAAUUUGACAAUCAUGACAAUAAUUUAGUGAAUAAACAUGAUAAAUAUUGAUUGGAAAAAUAAGUCCAUGAACAGCAAAAAGUGUUUUUAGAUUUCAACGAGCAAAACAAGUAUUCUAAAUCAAUCUUCGUAAAAAAAAAAGUGAGCGAGUGGAACCACCUUGCUCGCACCAAAAUUGAGAUUGAGAGUGUCAAAACUGCUCUGGCACACCAUCAAUAAAUCAACGACACUCUCUCUACCGUGGUAUUGAAACCAGCAUUGGUAACCAAACAUAUUCAUACAGAUACAGACUACCAUUCAUCUACAUUUAGGAAGUCUGAAUAAUACUGAAAACUAUGGUGUAGAAUUUCCAACAGGACUCCUUAUUUUAUAUAAGACAAGGAGUGGUUUAUUUUCCCAUGGUUGUUACAUCAUCUUGUCUUUGAAUAUGCUCGAAGUACAGGGACUUUUAUGGAAUUCAUUGACAUGAUAGUCAAGCAAGAUGUCAACAUCUCGUCCAACCCUCUUCCAGCAAAGCCAAAGCUGACCAAGGAUCUUCACCCUUUCAAAACAGGCUGUAUACAGGACGAGUUAUUCCAGUAGGAACAGGGCUAUAUAUAUGCAAGCAAUGCUCAAUUAAGAUGAUUUUUUGUAAAAGUGACAAUAGCCAGGUCAAACUAAAUACAUGUAUAGAAGAAGAUAUUGAUCUGGACUCGCAGCUAACCUUUCUGUCAGUGUCAACAACAACUGAACUUUCACAGCAGUCAACAUCAGAUUGGGAGACUGAUUAUGCUUCUAACAGAAACAAUUUCAACCAACCAAACAAGCAACAGAAACUUUCCAACUUUAAAACAUCAGUUAAAUCUUCCAUGGGAUGAUGUCUCAAAAAAUAACAGUUCAUCAUUUAUGGAGAUUUUAAUGUUAUGGUUUUUCUUUUACAAGAAAGUUAAUGUACACUUGUUUUAUAGUAAAACCUAUAGCCGUUCAAGUAUAAAAAAACACAUUCAACUUUAUUGAAAUUUGAAGAUUCAUAUGACUUAUUUUAAUUCUGUUAUCUCCGAGGAUGUGAUGUAGAGCAUUAUAGGUACAGUAAUCUUAACAGCUAUCCAAUUUCAUUCAAAAUUCUUUAUAAAUUUUGCACUGGUAUAUAUAGACUAAGUGAUUUGUUUUUUGUCUAGUUAUGGGAUUUUUUUAUACCCCACACAACGAGUUGCGGAGGGUAUAAUGUUUUUGACCCGUCCGUCUGUCUGUCCGUCAGUCCGUCAGUCCUGUUUCUUGUCAUCGCAACUCCUCUCAAACCACACAACAGAAUUUCACGAAACCUUUUUAGAUAAUAAGGACAUACUAUGUACACUGUAGUUGUGCAUAUAGACAGGAAGUUACGAUUCAAUUCAUUUUCUAGGAGUUAGGCCCCUUUGAACUAAUUUACUUUAAUGUACUUCUGCAACAGUUUGUCAUCACAACUCGUCUCAAACCACACAACAGAAUUUCAUGAAACCUUUUCAGAUAAUAAGGACAUACUACGUAGAUGUGCAUAUCGACAGGAAAUUACGAUUUAAUUUUUUUUCCAGGAGUUACGCCCCUUUGAACUUAAUUGCCCAAUAUACUACUGCAACCUUUUGUCAUCGCAACUCCUCUCAAACCACACAACAGAAUUUCAUGAAACCUUUUCAGAUAAUAAGGACAUACUACGUAGAUGUGCAUAUCGACAGGAAAUUACGUUUCAAUUUUUUUUCCAGGAAUUACGUCCCUUUGAACUUAUUUGCCCAAUAUACUACUGCAACCUUUUGUCAUCGCAACUCCUCUCAAACCACACAACAGAAUUUCAUGAAACUGUGUAGAUAAUAAGGACAUACUACGUUGAUGUGCAUAUUGACAGGAAGUUAUGAUUCAAUUUUUUUUUCUGAUACAAUUUUUUUUCUUACACUUAUUUUAUUUCUCCAAUGACAAUGUCUGGAAGUGGGGUAUGUGAGCGCGCUCACUAAGGUUCUUUCAUUUUAGAAGCAUUUAUGAUUUUCAUGUUUGUAUUGACCACAUUGCAGCAACAUAGAUAUAGGUACCUGGCAAAUCUUGCCUUGUUAGCAUACUAGGCUCAAAGGGUCAUAAAAAAAUUUCCAUCACUAAGUGUCUGUUAAAAUCAUCUGUGUACAGUUUUCACUUUUAAUCUUAAUAACUUUAGAAGUGUCAUACAUAUAUAUAUAUUGAAGACCUGUUGGUGGCCUUCUGCUGUUGUCUGUUCUGUGGUCGGGUUGUUGUCUCUUUGACACAUUCCCCAUUUCCAUUCUCAAUUUUAUGUAUACAAAAUUUAAAAACUUUUCAAUAUAUAUAUUUAUAUAUAUAUAUUGAUAAAAACUAUCAACAUGACAAGAUCUAAAUACCCAAAAUUUUUCUGAAAAAUUGGACAUAACAUCUAUGAGCUAUUGUCCCUGAAAUGUGUAAAUUUACAAAUUUUCACAGUUUUCUGCUACUAUCCAACAACUAUAUCAAUAUAUUAUAAGAAUAAAUUGCAAAAGUGGUCAGAAGAAACUUUUUUUUUACAGUCUGAACUUAUUCUGAAUUGUUUAACUUCUAAUUUAAAUUGAUUGCGUUUGAAAUAUGUGUUUUUUAUCGUUUUAGGUUCACAAUUUGUCAAGACGAUCUAUUUCGGCUCCUGGGAGCCUCUAGAUUUAUAAUGAAUAAUUUGUAUUUAUGUAUGAUUAUUUUCUUAAUGUAUUAAAUGAAACAUUAAUUAUUCUU